GACGAACGCUGGCGGCGUGCUUAACACAUGCAAGUCGAACGAAGUGGCGAACGGGUGAGUAAUACGUGGGUAACCUGCCCUCCUUUUUGGGAUACGCCUUGGAAACGGGGUCUAAUACCGAAUAAAGGGGGAUGGGCUCGCGGCCUAUCAGCUUGUUGGUGGGGUGAUGGCCUACCAAGGCUGUGACGGGUAGCCGGCCGGAGAGGGUGACCGGACAGAUGGGGAAAAGGUUACGGCCCAGACGUCUACGGGAGGGAGCAGUGGGGGAUAUUGUGCAAUUGGCGAAAGCCUAGUGCAGCGACGACGCGUGGGGGAUUGUGGCUUUGGGGUUGUAAACGUCUUACGCUAUCGAAAGGGUGGGUGGAGGAGAAGCGCCGGCUAACUACGAGCCAGCCGCCGCGGUAAUAC
rnacentral:rRNA from 1 species